CAACCAAGAUGCAUUAAACAGUAUCCUGACAUUAAUUUCCCCCAUAAGACGUUAUUUUAGUUGCUGCAGGGCAAGUAUGUUCUUGUGAAUGAGCGAAUAGGUGUCUCAGAAUAACUUCUCUUCUAAGGUACAGUCCACGUAAUGGGGGUAAAAAACAAAAGCAUGGAAGUCUUGCUCUAGAUAACGUGUCAGCCCUCAGUGCAAAUCUCCCUGGUUCAGCAAGUCUGGGAACUAGACCGAGACCAGGAAUUAUCUCCAGCUCUACCAUAUGGAGAUGCAAGACACCAGGCCAGUUGCUUGUUUUAUUUAAACAUGUGUUUCUGUUACCAGCAGUAUUAACAUUGCUUUGUUCCUGUUUAUAUUUAAAGAAAUGAGAAAAUAAACUAAAUAACUUUUUUCCUCUCAUUUUGUUUUUGUUCUUUUAAGAGUUCCCUGUUCCUGUCAGAGUGAGUUAGGCUGAACAGAAACAAGGCAUUCUUCUUCCAGAGCAAACGUGUCCACAUUUGGAGUUAUUUGGGAACCAUUCCUACAGCUCAAAUGCAUGUCGUUGUCCCCCCUCCUUAAUUCUGAUUAAUGUCCACAUGUAAAAAGUCCCUUAGGUUAGAUAACUGGUUGUCUACUUAACAGAUCACAGUAACACACAAUUUACCUGAGACGGCAAAACACACAAUACCCACCUGCUGCUUUUACCACUUUAGUGAGGCAUCUAAUUCAGUGGCUUAAGAGAAAAGUUUCUAAUUGUCUGCAAAGCGGCAACCGCAUCAUGACAAGAGUGAUAGGGCAGCUCAGAGGACCCCAAGGAAGAAUUUGGAUUUCCUGCCCUCAUCCACACCUGAGGGGCAGAGGAACCAUCCCAUGAAUUCAAUAAAACCCCCAAAAGGAAACUCGUGUUAAGGCAAGGUUCAGCAUGCCCAGUGACCCAGCGUGCAGGCUGCGAUGUGCAGGAGAAAGCGUAACGCUUUCCCUAACAUGGACUCCUCCUGUAAGUCACGCUGGAAUCGCACAGAAAAGCCCAAGACGAUCACUUCCCGAAUCAAACAUUUCUGACGCAUCCAAAAUAAAAGACUGGCAGGCGGCUGGCUAAAGAGGACCACUCCUGACCAGAGUUGUUACAAGCGGAGAAAACACAAGCAAGCAAGCAAGCAAACACCUCUUUCGCUCCUGGCAGCAGUGUCCCAGCUUAGGAUUCAUAUGGAUCAUCAGGACAAUGUUAUCUAAACUCGCUAGGUCUUGCAGUCCUUCAGAAUAUUAUCUUUGGGAUACACAAGAUUGAUUACGGGCCACAGCGAUUUCUCAAAUGAAAACAUCUAUCCGGCAUUUUGACCAUCAGUUCAGUGUACAAAGGUAGAGAGCUAAAACCAACAAUAUACUUCUCAUUCAGAUUUUUCGGAUUUUUUCCCUAAGCCGCAGGUUUUCUUUUGUUUUGUUUUGUUUUGUUUUUUGUGGUCUAUUUGUUUGUUUUGGUUUUGGCUCAGUAUUGACACUUCUGUUUGAUAUAAUUAAAUUGCUGGUAAGAAAAAACAA